rnacentral:snRNA from 1 species
GAAUGUGAGGGUGAUCUGGCUGUGACAACUGUUCACCAUUGAUCACCAGGGUUGAUUUGGCUGAUCUGGCUGGCUAGGUGGGUGUCCCUUCCUUCCUCACUGCUCCGUAUUUGUCCCUCCCAAUGUGACCAUCCUCGAUAGAGGACGACCAGUCUUCUGUCAAGGGCAUAUGAGUAGCUGUUAUCCCCCUGCUAGAUUUUCAAACAAGCUCUCAAGGUCAUGAGAGAAUGGGGCAGAUCUUGUCCAGUAUAGUUGCAGAAAGGUGACAAAUAUGGUGGUAGCACUGUAAAU